rnacentral:rRNA from 1 species
UUAACCGAAUAGGGGAGCCGGAGGGAAACCGAGUCUUAAUUGGGCGUUAAGUUGCAGGGUAUAGACCCGAAACCCGGUGAUCUAGCCAUGGGCAGGUUGAAGGUUGGGUAACACUAACUGGAGGACCGAACCGACUAAUGUUGAAAAAUUAGCGGAUGACCUGUGGCUGGGGGUGAAAGGCCAAUCAAACCGGGAGAUAGCUGGUUCUCCCCGAAAGCUAUUUAGGUAGCGCCUCGUGAAUUCAUCUCCGGGGGUAGAGCACUGUUUCGGCUAGGGGGCCAUCCCGGCUUACCAACCCGAUGCAAACUGCGAAUACCGGAGAAUGUUAUCACGGGAGACACACGGCGGGUGCUAACGUCCGUCGUGAAGAGGGAAACAACCCAGACCGCCAGCUAAGGUCCCAAAGUCAUGGUUAAGUGGGAAACGAUGUGGGAAGGCCCAGACAGCCAGGAUGUUGGCUUAGAAGCAGCCAUCAUUUAAAGAAAGCGUAAUAGCUCACUGGUCGAGUCGGCCUGCGCGGAAGAUGUAACGGGGCUAAACCAUGCACCGAAGCUGCG